ACGCGGUUUCCGACACACGGUAUCAGUGGACGUCGAUAAUAUGCUCGUGCCAGAUGCACAAUUACAUCACAAUAAUCUUUCUGUACCGACAACAACAUGGAAAACGGGGGACCUAGUUCGUGAUGAAAUAAUUUGAAGGUUGUAAGCAAGAGGUGGAGAAAUAGGAGGAGCGAUUAACACUUGUGGUUGAUCGAAACGCCUAUCACGCAGUACUCGAUGUUGAUAUUUCCACGUGAACGGGACGAACUGGUGUUUUUCUUGGCGAUGUCGACGUAUCGAUGUUUCAGGUUUGAAUAUGAUUUAUCUAGUAGUGGCCUUUGAACAGAGCUAACCGCCAUCGCGCCAGUGAAGAAAAUUCACUUCAAUGACGGUGACUAUCGUAGAACAGGUUUAUUGAUGGCGUUGUAUAAAUAUUAAUUGAAUGAAGUAAUGCAGUGAUACGGAAGAUAUCUUGUUCGGUUUUUAUUUAAGGAAAUUUGUCAGACGCGUAACCUGUUUAUUUUUUGUUAAUAUGUUUUAUCAGCUUCCUUCUACCACUAAAAAGAGAACUUGCAAGUAAAAAACGUGUCAAGUUAAACAAGUGGCAAGAAAAUGAUUUAUGUGAGUAAUUUACAAGGGAUUAAAGUGAGAUACCGAAGCUUCCUAGUUUUAUCUGAAUUUAAUUAUUAAAAAAACAAGUGCUGUGUUUCAACAUAACAUCUUUGAUCCUUAAUAAGAACGAAAUAGUAAAAUAUCUUUUAAAAGGAUCUUCUUCAAUUAAUCUAGUUACAGUUAAGCAACGGCAUCUCUGUAAUUGACAUCUGUUACGAACAAUAUGCCUAUUUAUAAUAAUGUAAAUA